CAGGCGGCCGUGACCCUGCUGGAGUGCGGAGGGGACCUCCAGCCCCCCGGGGGAUCCCUGCGCCUCAUCUGCCGAGGGUCCGGGUUCAAUUUCGGGAGCUACGACAUGAACUGGAUCCGCCAGAGACCCGGGCAGGGGCUGGAGUGGCUCACGGGGAUCAACACUGGUGGCAGCGCCUACUACGCGCCAUCGGUGCAGGGCUGGUUCACGAUCUCUAGGGACAACGGGCAGAGCUCGGUGACGCUGACCAUGAACAACCUCAAGGACGAGGAUUCUGGAUCCUAUUUCUGUGCCAAAUGUGCUUAUGCUGGUUAUGUGGGUCCUGGUGCUAAUUUGGAUGACACCCAUGGUGGAUCCAAGCCCCCAUCUAAGUGUAGUCUCCUGUCCCCAAUCCCCAGACCCUUCCCCUGGGUCUCAGCCCUUCACCGCAUUCUUGACCCUUUGUCCCAGAUCUCCCCCAGUUCCACUACACAAACCAUGGAGGCAAAACCCCAAAACUGGUUCUGCCCCAAAUCCAACUAUGUUGGCACCAGAAAUCGCCCGAAUCUGCCCCAAAAUGCCAUUUAG